CACAAAAAACUAAAAGGCUAUUGCAAGAAUGGAAGCCUUUCUUUUAAAUAUGUGAAGACAUUUAACAUGGAUGAGCAUGUAGAGUACUGCCCAGAAAUCAUCCUGAAAGCUACCAUUACUGUAUGAGUAACUUUUUAAAGUAUAUUGUUAUAGAUUCUAAUCAUGCUCAUAACCUUUUAAAGUAUAUUGUUAUAGAUCCUAAUCAUGCUCAUAAUCUUGAUGAGGGUGCUGCAAGUUUACAAGCAGAAUGUGAUGGAUUUGAAAAUAAAUUUCUAAAAGCUGGAGGAAUAAAUAUUUCUGUUGCUAGGAAUGAUCCUCAUAAGAGACAGACACAAGGCAUUUUCCCUGUACAAAGCAAAAGUGGAAAAGAUUAUUUUAGCUUUCCAGCAGCAUCCCCAAACUAUUUGUUUAUAUGCUGAAGAUGCUACUUUAGAACUAACAGUGAAAAUUGUGAAACACUUUACGGUUUAAUGAACAUGCACAGUAAACUUGUGGGUCCACUCCAGAGUAUGAUAGAACGAAAUUGAAGGCGAUUGGAGUAAAA
rnacentral:lncRNA from 1 species